rnacentral:tRNA from 1 species
GAUCGCGGUGCCGGGGACGAACCUGGCGGCGCUGCUGUCCCCGCGGGACGUCGUCCACUGCUCGAUGCCGCUGUUCCACUCGGGCGCGAUCA